UCUUUGCAUAUCAAUAUCAAAACUCCCUUCAGGAGUAGCGAAAAUGAGAAGCAAUAUACUACUUACCAUUAUCUUAGCCAUAGUUCUUGCAGGAGCCCUGCCCAAGAAUGUGGUAGAGGCUCAGAAUUGUGGCUGUGCUGCAAACCUUUGUUGCAGUCAAUAUGGCUACUGUGGCACCGGCGAUCCCUAUUGUGGUCAGGGAUGUAAACAAGGGCCCUGUUAUUCAUCGCCUACGCCUACUACUCCUAGUGGGAGUGGUUCUGUUGCUGAUAUUGUUACGCCUGCUUUCUUCAAUGGUAUAAUCAACCAAGCUGCUGCAAGCUGUGCUGGGAAGAAUUUCUAUACAAGAAAUGCAUUUCUCAGUGCUGUCAAUUCAUAUUCUCAGUUUGGUAAACUUGGUUCAGCUGAAGCUUCUAAGCGUGAGAUCGCAGCUUUCUUCGCUCAUGUUACUCAUGAGACUGGACGUAAGUUCCUCUUCCAUCCCUAAUAACAUUUCUCGCAGCAUUCGAAUAUGGAUUUUGUCAACAAAGUGAACUGUCUAAUAAGUGUGUUUCAGAUCCUCGUGUGUAAACUGACAAGAGAAAAUGUCAUAUUUUGCAGACUUCUGCUAUAUAGAAGAGAUAAAUGGUGCUUCCGGUGACUACUGUGAUGAAAACAACAGGGAAUACCCAUGUGUUGCAGGCAAGAAAUACUAUGGCCGCGGACCACUCCAACUAUCAUGGAACUACAACUAUGGGCCAGCCGGAAGGAGCAACAACUUUGAUGGAUUGAACAAUCCUGACAUUGUAGCAAGGGAUGCGGUUGUGUCAUUUAAGACAGCCUUAUGGUUUUGGAUGAACAGAGUUCGUCCUGUUGUAAGCCAAGGUUUUGGAGCAACUAUUCGAGCCAUUAAUAGUAUAGAAUGCAAUGGUGGAAACGCAGGUGCUGUUCAGGCUCGUGUUAGAUAUUAUAGAGAUUAUUGCAGUCAACUCGGCGUUUCUACUGAGAAUAACCUCACUUGCUAGGUUUUUAAAUAACCUGAGUUGUUAUGCCAAGUUAUGGCUAAUCAUAUGAAAAUAAGAUGUACUGCUAUGAAACAAAUUGAAGAGAAAUAAAGUUUAUAAUUAUCGUUAUGUCUCGUAUAGUUUUUCAGUAAUUUUGAUGUCCCUUUUCAUAUUUGUUUUUAUUACUUGGAAAAACCUCCACUUUACUUCGCCAUAAAUUUGUGUUGAAAUUCAAUUUACGCCUUGUACGUAUUUUAUUUUCCAUCAAUUGAGUCCAUUAUAACCAAAAGAUUGUCCAUCCAACCCAAUAUAUUAGCAAUUUGAAAUUGAAAUCACUAUAUGUGUGCAUAUUCAUUUAAUUUAUUCUUCCAUUUCCAUAAUACAUUUUUCAAAUUUAUGUUAAUAUCCAUAGUAGGAUCUACUCUAAUUAAUUACUUCUCGAGUAAAACAAAAUUUCAUGAUUAUGACAUUUUUUCUUUUUAUGUUUUUGAAAAUGAAAGGUUGUGUUGCCUUGCCUAUUAUGUUUAUAAUACAUGUUCAGCUUACUUUUCAUCUUUCAAAUUUGGUUGAUGCAGAGUGUUUUUUAAAAUGAUUUUUAUUUAAAAAUAUAUUAAAAUUAUAUUUUAUUUUUCAUAUUAGUAUAUUCAAACAAUAAAAAAAACUUUUUCAAAAACAAAUUAAAAUUUAAAAAAUACAGUGCAACCGCACUUCUAAACAACACCGAAGUUAAAAAGAAACUAAGUUGUGGUUUUUUAGAUGUUAAGAGCCUAUUUGAGAACACGGUGUAAACCACAUUCUUUUAAAUUUAAAAAAAAUUGCUAAAAUUUAUUUUUUUAUGUCUUGAGAUUUUUUAAUGUGUUAAUGUUAAAAUAAUUUUAAAAAUUAAAAAAUAAAAAAUAUAUAUUUUUUAAAAAACAACUUUAGACUGCAACAACUAUUGAAAUUUUAAACAGUCCAUAAGAAAUUGAAUUGAAUUGUACAGGAUCUUUGCCAUGGAAUCACUAUUGGGAUUAUUUAGUGGUUCAAAAUCAUGUUGAGCUAGCCGACGUUGAAAAUCAUCAAUAUUAAUGGAGAGACUUUUCAAAGAAGUUGUCAAGUCCAUUUCUGACAUGAUAGCAAUUAUGGAUUGGGGUCCAUGUCCAUGUACCAACAUUGUAUAGAUCAUGAACCAAGUUUAAUGUCAAAGGAUCGAUUUGCCAGGAAAAAAAAAUUGAAAAAUGAAAAAUUAGGCAACUUGCUGUGAUUUCCUUUUGCUUCCCUAUUAUCGUAUUGUUCGGCGGUGCUAGGCCAUGUGCUUGGCUCACUUGACCGGCAGCACUAUAUGUUGACCAAAGCAAAUAUGAUCUUUUCCAAGAUAUACGAUAUGGCCGCAGUGUGGUCAAAUAUCUUGGUAGUGUUGAUUAAUGGAGAGCUAAAGCCACAGCCCACCCAUUUCUUAUCCACCUAGCCAGAUGAGGAAGAAACGAUGGCUCCUAUUUUACUUAUUUUUCAGCUGCAAGAGCUGAGUUGUAGUAAGGUGGAAUGAGUUGACAUGACAUGUGUUGGAAUGAGCUGUAUCUAUCCCAACUCGUUGCAUGUUUUGGUUAUAAAAUCUUUUUAAAAGUAUUUCUAAGUUUUUUUUUGUUAUAUAUUUUUAAUUUUUAUUAAUUUUUUAGUGUUUUAAAAUUAUUUUGAUGUAUCGAUAUUAUAAAAAAAAUUUAAAAAAUAAAAAUUUAUUAUUUUAAUGUAUUUUUAAAUAAAAUAUACUUUUAAAAACAAAAUUUAAAUUAGCAGUAAAAACACAACAUAAAUGUGACAAAACACAGUGAGCUAAACACCAAGAGAAAGAGUGUUUAUCCAACCUAGUUAAAUCUUAGGCGUCGAUUCUGGGCAUCCAUUUUAAUCCUGACCGUUAGCUACAAAAACUGGAAAAAGAAAGGAGCACUAGAAGACGGCUUCAGUUUUAUCUUUUUCUAUCCUUUCAUUUAUGGUACGUUGAAAGGUUGUCUUCUCUAUCUUAAAAAUAUAUAGGGAGGGGACGUAGAUUUCGGGUAAUUGGCUAGUCAACGUCGGCUAUGCCCAUACUGUGCCAUUGGGCGCCACUAUCCUUCCAUUUAUGGUAAUUGACUAUUCAACGUUUUUCUUUUCACAUAGUUGUGGGGUGUCUACUCUUCGAAUGGGGUUCUUCUAGUCCUAGAUAGGAUACUACCUUUUCUUUCGUUAGGAGAUAGGAUUUGUCAUACUUUUUCCCUUCAAAUGCUGAAAUUAUUAAAAAAUAAUAUAAAUUAAAUCUCAUUUAAUAACUUAAAUUUUUUGAUUGAAAUGAUUUUUUGAUAUUUUUAAAUUUUUUGAUUGAAAUGAUUUUUUGAUAUAAUAUCAAUACUUUGAUAACUAAAUGGUCACGAGUUUGAAUUUCACAAUCUCUAUUUAUUUGAUAAAAAUUAAACACAGGAUAAUGUAGACAUGUAUAAGUUUUAAGCUCAAAAGACUUUUAUAUGAGGGAAUGUGUUAGAAAAUAAUAUAAAUCAUAUUCUAGAACUUUAUUUAAUAAUUUAAACUUUUAGAUUGAGAUGGUUAUUUGAUAAAAUUGACAUGAUAAGGUACCAAUUAAGUCUGUGUCUUUAUGUGGACAAGAUUUCUAUUUUCUUGCCUAACUACAAAGUUUACUUGAAAUGGUAGUGAUUGAUUAUCCUUUCCUAGUUGUUUGAAAAGUAAUACGCACGUGCCAGCAAUGGCCCUGCAGGUAAUGGCGCCACAAAUGGUUUGGGAAAUUAAACUCCUUGCCCUCUCUAGGGCCUAGAUUUGUCUCCGCUGAUAGUGUGCUAAAGAAUUUAAAAGAAUUGGUAUUAGUAUUGUGAGUUUGAAGAAAAUUAGAGAAAUGAAAAAAAAAUGAGGGCGGCUAAAUUAUGGCUCUGUAAUUGGCUCUUCCAUAGACUGUAGUGGUCAGCGCCUUUGGAUUGCAAACAUCUAUGCUUCUAGAAAUCUUGAACUUCCAGUUUGUUAAGAGUUUUUAUCUAGUCACCCACGAUGGUCUGUAAUGAACUGAACAACCUAGUCAUUGAGAAGCCUAUAACACUUUAUGCAAGUCUCCAAGUGAACAAAUUUGCAGAUUAUGCUUGUCUCCUAGCAUUGAAAAUUCCCACGUUCGUAAAGCUUUUGAGGAUACUAUGAAGCUCAUCCCAUAUGAUUCCCAUCUAUCGAGUGCUGUAACAUCACAAUUCAAAGUUAAAACUUCAUGUUGAUUCAAAAAAAACUAAUGUUAAGAUAUCCAAAAGCCUUGAAAUGAUUUGAGAAUUUCAAGUGUUAGACAAAAAAUCCACCAUGAGUGAUUGGAUGUUCAAAUAUCUUAUGCGCUGCGACAAGGUCGGAUGUUAGAAAUAUGGGUGAACUCUCCCUCCAGUUUUUAUAAAACACUUUAAAAAAAAAAAAAAUCAUGAGGUUGCCUUCUUCACUCUCGCCUGUAAUAUGGGCUCUCAAAAUUGAAUGUGGAGCUGGAACCACUCGUCUCAUUAUCUUCAAGAUCUUCUAAAUCCUUAUUUAUUAAGUAAUGGUCACUUUUGAAACUUCCCUUUACAAAUCUUUAUUCACUAAGUUAUGACAGUUUUGUUCUUGGGCAGAACCUCCUCAACCAUAAUUAAUUCCCCUCUGCCAUAACCAUGUUUUGCGUUGUGAUCUCUAGCCAUAGUAGUUCAGCAACAUUAAAAAAAAGAAGGAACAAUAGGAUAUGAUACCAACUUGCACAAUUUAAACUAAUUAGACUGGGAAUAAAAAAAAAACAUGGGAAGAUAGAAUUCACCAAAAGGGCCAAACAAGAACCCUAGCUACAUUGUUAUUUUCAGAAUAUAUUCCUCCACCAAAAUCUACCUCAUAAAAAUAUUUUCAAUAACUUAAAUAGGUCUAUCUUCUCGAUCAAAAUGGAAAAAAUAAUCUUACAUGGAUAGAAAAAUUAAAAGCUAAAAUUUGAAAUAAAUAAAAACUAAAACUAAAAAAAAUAGCAAUUUAUAAAUCUAAUUUGAAAGUCUUGAUAACCUCAACGAGCCAAUAUUUCACUAUAGAAUAGAUCUGCAUAAUCUUUUAAUGAAAUUUAAAUAUGAUCUAAUAAUUAAAUAAAAUAUUAUGUUUAUUUUUAUCAGAAAUGUUAUUUGGAGUGACUAAAUCUUUUCUUGAGUUUGAACUUUUUAUUUAAUCCAUAAAUGUAUUUAUUAGGUAUUUUAUAUACUCUGAUUAUUAUUCUUGUACAUUAAUAUUAGGAAUAACCACAAUAAAUAUUGGUAUGGGAAAUUAAACUCCUUAGAAUUACCUUACCCAACUCUGAAGCCCUAGAUGUACAUGGCGUGGUAAAGGAUUUAAAAGAUAUGGUAUUAGUGUAUGGGAAAGAAAUUAAACUGAGAACUUGGCUCUGCCUCGGUGCUCAGUACCAUUCGAUCUCUAACAUCUAUGCAUGCUUCUAGAAAUUUUGAGCUCCUAGUCCGUUCAAAGUUUUUUUUAGCAGCCUUCCUUGAUGAUCUAUAUGAACCGAACAAUCAAGUCAUUGAGAAGCCUACAACACUUAGCCUAGUCCCUAACUUUGUGGCGCAUUGAGUGGAAGAAAUUUUCAACGUUUGACUCCAAGUAGUCACUCAUUUACGCUGUUUAGAAUCCAAGUUAAAUUUCCAUGUUGAUAAAAAAAAUAAAGUUAAGAUGGCAAAAUUCGCUGAAUCCGUACUUCAUGAAAUUUUAAUUAUUACAUAGGAAAAUACAUGUCCAAAGUUAAAAACACAUUAUAUUAUUCAAUGAACUGUAAUAUAAAUUGAUAGUUGAAAUAUAAGGUUGUGUUGCACUCAUGAAAUGAAAUGAUAGAAAGAUCUGAUUUAGUGUUAGGUUUUAAGCCAAUAGAAUUAGUUUGAAAGGAUAAUAUUAAUUGUUUUUUAAAAUGAUUUUUUGUUUGAAAAUAUAUUUAAAAAAUAUAUUAUUUUUAUAUUAGGACAUCAAAAUAAUAUAAAAAUAACAAAAAAAUUAAUUUAAAAUAAAAUAAAAUUAAUUUUUUAAAAAAUACUUUUAAAACCUAAACAAUUUUCUCAGUCUUGUCUUCUAACAUAAAAAUAUAUAUAUAUAUUAUGAAGCCAACAGUAUCAAUCACAUAAUCCAUUAUCUGUCAGAGUCUCGGUACUUGAGGGAUUUGAUCCCAUAUGACACAAGCCUGGUGACUUUACUAAUCAGCUCUUUUCUAGGUUUCUUGCGGGUUUUUUUUAUCAGUAAUCCUUCUCCAAUUUGUCGUCUCAAACUGGUUUUUAAUAUCUAUUUGAUGAUCAAAGAAAAGAAAAGGCCUAAUCAUCUAACAAGUAGUUUUAAUUCUAUUUCUGUAUAUUUCUACUUAAAAUAUAUUAAAAAAUAAUAUAAAUCAUAUAUUAAAACUUUAUUUAAUAAUUUAAGUUAUUAAGUUAAGAUGAUUCUUUAACAUGAUAUCAAAGUAUUGAUGACCAAGUGGUCAUGAGUUUAAAUCUCAUUAUCUCUAUUCAUUUGAUAAAAAAUAAGCACAAGGUAAUAUGGUCUUGUGGAAGUUUAAAGCCCAAAGAGCUUUCAAUUGAAAGGGUGUGUUAGAGAAUAAUAUAAAUCAUAUCUUGAGAUCUUAUCUAACAGUUUAAACUUGUGGGUUAAGAUGAUUUUUUGACAGAGUAAAAAUAUAAGCAUAGUAAUAAAUAUCUUCCAAGUUUAUUACUGCGGAUCAACUCAACAACCUACCAAUUAAAUAUUUUAUUUUAUUUUAAAUUGGUUUUUUUAUGAAAAUAAUAUAAAAUAUUUUAAAAAAAUCAUAAUUUAGAAUGACUUGCCAACCCUUCUACGAACCGAAUCUCGGAUUGGAUUGAUAUCUAGUUUGUAGUUUAUAACUAAGAACGUGAGAUGUAUCUCUUGCCAUCAAGGCAUUUAGAAUUUUCAUAUCUAUCGCUAUAAGGUGCUUUGUAGUUUCAUAAAACUUUGCUUAGUGAACCUACUUUUGUCGUUAUAAGUCAUCUAAGCAGACCCGUAUUCUACACGCACAAAUAUGCAUAAAAAUCUACAUGCUAUCCUGCUAUAUAUGGCCCAAACCAAACCUUAUUUUUCCAUCCAGAUUUUUUACCCUUAAUUAAAUAAAAAAACACCUUGCUUACCUUAUGUUUUCUCUUAACAUGGGAAACAAUGUACUAUCCAUCAUUCUGGCUAUGAUGCUGGCUGUAACCAUGCCGCAGUUGAUAGUGUCUCAAAAUUGUGGUUGUGCUCCCAACUUGUGCUGUAGUCAGUUUGGCUUCUGCGGCACCGGUGAUGCUUAUUGUGGCCAAGGAUGCCGGGAGGGACCUUGUACCUCAGCACCUAGUACCCCUAGCACGCCUAGUAACAAUGAUGUUACGGUGGCUGAUGUUGUUACACCGGAAUUCUUCAACGGUAUAAUCAAUCAAGCCGGGGGAGAUUGUGCCGGGAAGAGCUUCUACACACGAGAUGCGUUUCUCAGUGCCCUCAAUUCUUAUUCUCAGUUUGGCAAGAUUGGAUCAAAUGACGAUUCCAAACGUGAGAUUGCAGCAUUUUUUGCUCACGUCACGCAUGAGACCGGACGUAAGAUCUCUUAAAUCUCAUCUAUAUAUAUAUAUGUAUAUUGUCACACAUCACACCUUCAGUAAACAACAUAAUAAUAAUAAUAAUAAUCAUAUAGCAGUUAAAAACUUUAUUAACAUGCAUACAAACUUGGAAAUGCUAUAGUUGCUAGAGAAUGAUCGUUAUGAUAUGAACACAAGCAUAACCAUACAUCUCAAAGUUAACAAAUGGAUGUGUUUUGCUUGGUUUACAGACUUCUGCUACAUAGAAGAAAUAAACGGUGCCUCUCAGGACUACUGUGAUGAGACCAAUACACAGUAUCCAUGCAACCCGAACAAGAAAUACUUUGGCCGUGGACCUCUUCAACUAACAUGGAAUUACAAUUACGGGGCGGCUGGAGGGGCAAACAACUUUGAUGGACUAAACUCUCCUGAAACUGUGGCCAAUGAUCCUGUUGUGUCGUUCAAGACUGCCUUAUGGUUUUGGAUGACUAAUGUCCGCCCUGUGGUCACUCAAGGGUUUGGUGCGACGAUUAGAGCCAUUAAUGGUGCAGUUGAAUGUAAUGGUGGAAAUUCUGGUGCUGUUCAAGCUCGAAUUGGGUAUUACACAGAUUAUUGUAACCAGUUUGGCGUUGCACCUGGCGAUAAUCUAAGCUGUUAGGUUACAUUAUGCAUAUUAUAGUAUAGCAAUGAAAUGAAAUGGAAUCUACCUUCUGCCAUUUCUCGAAUGUAAGGUGGGAUACCCAGUGGUGUUCUGUAACUCUCGAUCGAGUUCGAUGUAUUUCUUGGAAUGGAUUUUAUAGAUAAAUAAAUGAAAUAAAGGCAUCACAUAAUUGAUUUUGCUUAUAAUGUAUUUGCUGGCUUAAUCGUUGUUAUGUUCAUUGCAAUUGCAAGUUUCUUGUUUAGGUUUUUUUUAUAUAUAUAUAAUCCUUAAUCACUAAUGAAAGUUUUGUUCUUGGGCAGAACCUCCUCAACCAUAAUUAAUUCCCCUAUGCCAUAAUCAUGUUUUGCGUUUUGAUCUCUAGCCAUAGUUGUUCAGAAACAUUAAAAAAAAAAAAAAAAAAAACAGGAACAAUAGGAUAUGAUACCAACUAGCACAAUUUAAACUAAUUAGACUGGCAAUAAAAAAAAACAUGGGAAGAUACAAUUCACCAAAAGGGCCAAACAAGAACCCUAGCUACAUUGUUAUUUUCAGAAUAAUAUUCUUCCACCGAAAUCUACCUCAUAAAAAUAUUUGCAAUAACUUAAAUAGUUCUAUCUUUAACCUCAAUCAAAAUGAAAAAAAUAAUCCUACAUAGACAGAAAAAUAAAAGGCUAAAAUUCAAAAUAAAUAAAAAUUAAAACUAAAAAAAUAACAUUUUUAAAAUUUAAUUUGAAAAUCUUUCUAACCUCAACAGAUGACAACGAGACGAUAUUCCACUAUAGAAUAUGCCUGCAGAAUCUUUUAAUGAAAUUUAAACAUGAUUUAAUAAUUAAAUAAAAAAUUAUGUUUAUUUUCUUGAAACAUAUUGUUUGGAGGGACUAAACUUUUUCUUAAAUUUGGAUUUUUUAUUCGAUCCAUAUAUAUAUAUCUAUUAGAUUUUUUAUAUACUCUAGUUACAACAAAUUUAUAUCUGAUUAUGAUUAUUAUUCUUGUAGAUUAAUAUUAGCAAUAACGAACAAUAUUGGUAUGGGAAAUUAAAUUCCUUAUAAUUACCUUACCCAACUCUCAAGCCCUAGAUGUACAUAGUGUGGUAAAGGAUUUAAAAGAUAUGGUAUUAGUGUAUGGGAAAGAAAUUAAAAUAAAUUGAGAACUUGGCUCUGCCUCGGUGCUCAGUACCAUUUGAUUUCUAACAUCUAUGCUUCUAGAAAUUUUGAACUCAUAGUUUGUCCAAAGUUUUUUUUAGCAGCCUUCGUUAAUGAUCUAUAUGAAACGAACAAUCAAGUCAUUGAGAAGCCUACAACACUUAUGGCACGUUGAGUGGAAGAAAUUCUCAAAGCCUACAACACUUAUGGCACGUUGAGUGGAAGAAAUUCUCAAAGCCUACAACACUUAUGAAAUUUUAAUUAUUACAUAGGAAAACCCACGCCCAAAGUUUAAAACACGUUAUUCAAUGAACUGUAAUAUAAAUGGAUAUUUGCAAACAACAUUCUCUCUAUUAGUUUCUAACAUACCAAAGAAAAUUUACGAAGCCAACAUUAUCGAUCGCAUAAUCCAUUAUCUGUAGGGGUCUCGAUACUAGAGGGAUUUGAUCCCAAAUCACACAAGCCUAGUAACUUUACUAAUCAGCUCUCUUUUUAGGUUUCUUCCGAGUUUUUUAUUAGUAAUUCUUCUCCAAUUUGUCGUCUCAAGCUGGUUUUUACUGUCUAUUUGCUAAUGAAGUCAAAGAAAAGAACAUGCAAUCCCCCCUAUUUAUAGGUUAUGGAAGAAGGUAAUAUUUUCUUCACCCGGGAAAAUUUUCAAUCCUUAAUUCAGAUGGAAAUGAUCACAACCGUUGACUUAAAAUAAGCAUGAACUGUAUAAAUUUACAGUUAGUGGCUGCUUGAGCUGGCCUCUUUAGGUUGGCACCGGACCUCUAUGGUGUUAAUCAACCUAAACAGACCAUACCAGGGUGUAAAAGGAUGUCAGGUGAUCAUUUACAUGCAAGUUUUGUGAAGGUUAGAUGCAUUAAAUGCACCUAUGAAGUUGUUUUCUAAGCUAUCAUUUCAGUGAAAAUUAAAGAAGAAGAUGAACAAUAACCAAAACAGCGCCAUUUUGGUAACAUUCACUUUAGCCAUUUGAUUUCUAAUUUGUCUCAAUUACACCCUUGAUUGACUUCAAAUUUUUAAUUUUAUGUAAUCUCAUCCCUAGAAAAACCUCAAUGUCAGCCUCGGAUAUCGCAAUGACGACGAUUAAAAAUAAUCUAAGAAAAGAAAAGAUAUCUAACAUCUUAAUCUUUGAAAAAAAAGGUCUAGUUUAAGGAGUCACCACCUAGUAUUACAAUCAGUACCAACCCUAAUUGAUCAACACAAAUUAUAUGGUACGGGACUGGUUACAUGAAAUGAAAUAUACUAUCACCCCUUAAGCGUCUUACUUAAAGCAAGCUACAUUGUUGGUUUUGUCUUAAAUUGCUAAGAGUUUGUCUUUGUUCCAUUUUUAAGGUCAUCCUAUAAUAUUCUCAACUCUGACAUCAAUAAUUAUUCACUGAUGAAUAUUUUCAACUCUAGCGUUGGUAAAUAUUGCGCAAUUCACAAAUUACAGUAUUUCUGACUAUAACGUCAGUGAAUAAGUCUGUAAAUUUCAAAUUCUAAAAAAGCAAGAAACAAAUUUUUUAUUUUUUUCUGGUCGGAUCUAGGUUGGUCGUACAGGCUGGGCUUGAUCCAGCUAGCCCGAGCUUGGUCACUGAAAUGCAACAAGCAUAUCUAAAUUAUAAUUCAUGUAUGGGUGUAUAGCAAGAAUGUAAUUAAAAUGGCAACGGUGAAGGGCCAAGAAUAAAAUUAAAAAUCAAAAAAAUAAAAAUCAAAUUUAAAGUAUCAAUAACUAAAAUGACAAUAUUGAAAUUCUAAAUGGCUAGUGCGAUUUUUGAGAGGAAAAGAGAGAGAAAAGAGUGGGGAAAAAGCCUCACCAACAACAAUUCAUCAUACCACCAUCACCACGUGCCACCCCACCAAAAAUAAUAAGCUGCAAAGAUUUCAACAACAUAAUGAAAGAGCUUUUUAACCACUGUGACGCAUUGUGUGUUCUGACAAAGAUUGUGGGCGCCUCCCACACGUUGGAGCAUAAGUUGUAUAAAUCAUCAACUUUUCUAUUUUAAUAUUAUUUUAUUUUUAUUAAAAGAUUAAAUUACCAUCAACCAAUUUAAUAAUAACAAAUAAAAAAACAUAGUAAAAAAACAUAAAAGUUCCUAUAUGCAAGCUUUAGAAAUUUUGCAAGUCUUUUUAUUGUUCCUAAAAUAGUGAAUUGAUGUGAAAGCCCUUCAAAGUUAGUUUCAAUAAUUUUGCUUUGAAGAGUAAAUUAAUAAUUUCAUUUUUAUUAUUAAUAAUUUCAUUUUUAUUAAAAAAAUAAAAAAGACAACCGCUCAAUAUAAUAAUUAAUAAUAAAUCAUGUACGAAAAGAAAAAACAAUCCCCAAUGUAAAAGCCAUUGGUUUUUUUGAGAAGGGUAAAUAGAUAACUAUACUGUAGCUUGGUAAAAUAUUUCUAUGCCAUAGUAUUUUCACCUUUUUGUUUUAGCUUUAUCAUUUUUUUUGUUAUAUUGCUAGACAUCUUUUAACCGCAGCUAAUAGUAUUCACAGCAACAAAUAUAACUAAAAGCAACCAAGUAAUCACUACAUAGAUCCUUAAUGUGUUAUUAAAUAUUAUAAGAGAUUUAAAUAAAAUAUAUAUGUGUAUAUAUAUAUAUAUAUAAAAAAAAGGUUCAUACACAAAAUUUAUAUGGUUUAAGGGCCACACUUUCUAAAAAAAUUAAUUUUUUUCUUCAAAUUAAAUAUUACUAUUUGAGAGUAAUUGAGUUUAUCUACUGAAUUUAUCAUCCAAUCUGUUUGCAACGCGAAGCCCCAUGUAUCUCAAGCCCGUCAUACUAUAUUCCAAAUGAAGGCCCAAAAACGAUGGGCCAUUAUGACGACAGCUGUUCAGCACUUCAUUUAGGCCCCCGUCUUUCAAAUGAAAUGCAAUUACAAUUUCAGGAUGUGUUAGCAACAAUUCCACGACGUCGCAUCCAAUGUUUCUCAGAGGCAUGAAAGCACAAGGCUAAGCUUCUCUCUUCAAGUGGAAGUCUAGCAUGUUGAAGAUGAAUGUGAGGUGGAAUCCCAAGGCUCAUUGGACUCUGGAAUCAGACAAGGGAAUCUUCGUUGUUUAACAUCUUCAAAUUCUGUUGUUGAGGCAGAGGUGCAGGGAACGUUGAAAACUGGGCAGGCAUUGGGCUUUGGAAUGUUGAGGACUUGUAACAUCCAUUAGAGGCCAGGUGGACAGAGAGCUGGAAGAUUGGAAUGACGACCAAUAAUGCCAUUUUGCAGCUCGACAGUGGAUAUGUAUUACCUUCUUUCUUAAUGAAGAUCUUAUUCUGGAAUAGUUGUGGAUUGGGUAUGUCUGUUAAGGGGGUAUCGAUUAGGAAUACUGUUCUGCAUAAUGACAUUGAGGCGUGUUUCCUGCCAGGAACUAAGAGGGCAAUGUGCUGUGACAAUUUUGUUCAUGCAUUAUAGAAUAACUUAUCAGUCAAAUGGUUUACACUUAAUUCAGUUGAUUAUAUUAGGGUGGAGGUAUUUUGGCUACUUGGGAUGAAAGUAAUUUCAUGGUUCAUUUAGCCGGAUAUCAAACUAGAAUUGACAUAAAAAUUAUGGUUAAGAUAUAAGGGUGUGUUUUGCCAAACACACCCUUAGUAAAUAUGGACUAGGCAGGUUGGAUUUGAAGCCCAAACCUGGCCAACAUUUUCUUUUUUUUUUAUUGGGUAAGAUCUAGCCUAACCAUCCGAGUUGGGCUCGACCCAGCUGGUCAACAUGGUUAUUGGCCUAAGCCAGUAACCUAGUUUGUGCAAUAUUUAAUUUUUUAUAGGCAGAAUAACAAAAAGAAAAAUGGCUUUAAAAAUUUCUUCUUCAAAUUCAAUUUUUUACCUGGUUUACAAUCCAUGUGAAUUAAAAUGAGAGCUGAGGAAGAAAGAAGACUUACCUAGCUUGCAAAAGCAUUGCCCGAGAUUGCAAGCGCUGGUCGAAGCUCUUGUCUUCAAGUUUUCUCCUAUUCCUUGUUCAUUUUAUUUUUUUUCAGCUUCUCUCGUUAUAUCUCUCUUGUCUCUCUCUCUCUUUUUCUUUUUUUUUUUUGUCUUUCCUUCUCUCUUUUUUUCUCCACUACCCACUCUCCUUUUUCUUUCUUUUUUUGUUACACCAUGGUGUGGCUUUUCACUAGCCUUUUAUAAGGCCAGAACAAAUGGUUGUUCCCCAGUACGUCUCUUUUUUCCUGGGAGGAGGAUAAGUCUUAGGGUGUUAGUCUUUUGCUGGGACUUGGAUGCGAGAUUCGAUCCUUAUCAUCCUAGGAUUGUGACCUUCAUGAAGAUAGGGAUUAAUCCUUGUGUUUUGGUAGACCUAGGAUGUUGGCAUUUCAAUUUAUUUCCCUUCUUUGCAAGCGAAUUUGUAGUGUUAGAGGAAGAAGAAGAAGAAUUGUGCAUGGUUGAAACGGCGUCGUUUUGGAUUGGGAAUGAACAUUUUCAAUUUGAUCCUUAAAGUUUUGAAAUUUCCUAAUAUGGCCCCUAAAGUUCAACACCUUUUACAAAAUGGUCCCUAAUUUCUAAUUUCUUGCAAUUUUGACCCAAAUCAACCCUGAAUUAUAAUAUUUCUUCAAUUAGGCCUUGACUCCAUUAAUUAAACUAGCUCUAAGCUUAAUUAAGUCCCCAAAUUUAUCAAUUCUAUGAUUAAGCUCGUAAUUUCAUUAAUUAAAUUAAUUUAAAGUUUAAUUAAGUCUCCAAACUUAUCAAUUUUUCCAAAUUCUAGCAAAGUCAAACCCUAAAUUUAUAAUUUCACCCUGACUAGAUCCUCAAGACUUUCAAUUUGUAUUGUCUUCACCCAAAUCUCAAUUUUUUCUCCAUUCAUUUCAUUUUUUCGAUGAAUUUAUGUUGUCAAAAAUUAAGUUACGACAACUGUAUCCAAUAAAUUAAAAGUCAUCAUGCCUGAUAUUAGUAGUGUUAAUCAAACAACUUUUUUCAUCUCUAGUAGGCAAAUUUUAGAUGGUUUCGUGAUGGCUAAUAAAAGUGUACAUAGUAUCAAGAAAAGUGGGAAACAUAGUUUUGUUAUGAAAGUGGACUUCCAUAAGACUUUUAAUUCUGUUGUUUAAGAGUACCUAGAGGAAGUGAUGUUAUAUGUGAGUUUUUGAAGGAGGCGGAUUUCUCUAAUACAUAAAUGCAUUACGGGAUCUAAAUUAGCUAUUCUUAUUAAAGGUUCACCAAUCAUGAAGUUUAGAGUAGAACGAGAACUACGUCAAGGCAAGAAUAACUAUCGCCUUUUUUUUUUUACAUAGAUGUGGAAGGGUUAUUAGUUAUGUUUAUGAGAGCUUCCACUUCCGGAUUAUUUAAAGGAAUCCAUUGUGAAAAUGAGAUAUAUAUGAGUCAUUUGAAAUAUACAAAUGAUACCUUAUUAUUUAUUCCUAAUUAUUUCACUUUGAUAACUAAUGCUAAAAGGAUUUUGAGGUGGUUUGAAUUGACUUUAGGUCUAAAAUUUAACUUUCAUAAAAGUUCACUAGUUGACAUCAACCUAGAUGAUGAAUUUAUGAUAGGAAUAACAAAUGUGAUAUAUUGCAAAUGGGACACACUACUUGUCCGAUACUUAAGCCAGAUCUUUGGGGGCAAACCCGAAAAGACUCUUCACUUGGAAGCCUAUCAUAAAUAGCAUCCAGACAAGACUGGUUCAUGAAAAGAAUGUUUAUUGAGCAUGACAAGAAGUGUCUAAUUAAAUUUGUGUUGUCCUCCCUUUCCUUGUAUGUACAUGUCCAUCUUUCUUAUGCCAAAGGGAGUUGUUAGGGUUAUUAAUUUGAUCAAGAGGAGGUUCUUGUGUAGUGGGGAUUUUGGUGCAAGGAAAAUAUAUAAAGUUGCUUUGUAGGUGGUUGUAAGGGGGAAAAUAGAGGGGGUUUGGGCAUUGGCUCAUUGGAAGGCAAGAACAAGGCAUUGCUAUUUAAAUGACUCUUGAGGCUAGGGGAAAGCAAUUUGAGAGGUUGGUAAGAGCAUAUCUACAAAAGAUAUCAGGCUACUAUUAUUAAUGGCCUCUCACUUCUUAAAUAAUCUUUUUCUGAAACAUGGCACUCUAUCUAUUUUGUUAUCAGCACGGACUCUAAAAUAGAAGUGACUUUGAAGAACAAUUGAUGGUUUUAGAUUGGCAAUGAAAGCAACAUUCACUUCUAAACAGACAAGCGGCUAGCUGGUAGGCUGUUAAAAGAUUUUUAUUUGUGCCUUUUCUCCUUUAUCACAACACCUUCUCCUUGCUUGUAGAUAUGGGGGCAAUGCUGCGACUUGGUGGAAAUGGAGACUUCACUAAAAAGAUGCUUGUGGACAUUAGAAAAAGAGAAAUUAAGUAACAUGAAUCAAAUGUUCGUAAGGGUAAUAUUGCAGUCGAUUAGAGGUGAUAAAAAAAUAUGGGCAAGAGACAUAAUCGAGGCCUAUAUGUCAAUUCUGACAGUGAUUUAAUAGAUAACAUUCUAUUUCUAGGAAACUUCAUAUUCACUUCACUUUUAUGGAAAUGAUCUACCCACCAAAUGUAGAAAUGUUUAUAUGGAUAUUGUUCCAAAGCAUAAUAUGUACAAGAGCCUUUCUACCACACUGUCAUUUAGGACAACCCAGUCAAGCUAUAUAUCCCUUUUAUGAACAUGAAAAAGAGAAUGCUCCUCAUCUUUUCCUUCAUUGCUACCACAUGUGGAGAUUAUGACAAUGAUUUUUGAGUUGGUCUGAUGCCUCUGGUGUAUGCCAAAUACAAUAGAUCAAGUGAUCUGGCAAUGGAGCAACAUGGUCGAAGGUAAGUUCUAGUAAAAUGCAUUUACAAUGUUAUCAUAUGGAAUUUUGUAGGGGUAUUUAGACUGCAAGAAACAAGCUGAUCUUCAAAGAUAAAAAGCUUGAUUGGAAUACAUUGUUUCAACUCAUACUCUAUUGACUUACACUUUGGUUAAAGGUCUGGAAUAAUAAUUUUUCAUACACAAAAAAUGAUUUGAUUAGAGAUCUUGGAGGCAUUUUAACAUGUUCUAAUAAGUGAUGAGUAAUUGGUUGUAGGAGCUUGUUAUUAGCAUCUCCUUUGUAACUUCCUUUUAUGUUUUUAUCUACGAUUUCAUGUUCAUCAUAGUCUUAAUGGUAUACUGGUUUUAUCAAUAAAUAACUCGAUUGAGUUGGUGUAGUUCCUUUCCCUUUGGCUAUAGGUUUUUAAGUUUCUUUAGUUUGGUAAUUCAUCAAACGCAAAUUAAGCUCUUACAAAUAGGAAAUGUAUGGUUGGAAAAAAGUUAGGAAGUGAUAAUUAUCAGCACAUACCAAGCCAAAUAAGACUAUCUGAUGUAACUUGAACAGUUUAGUUUAAUUAGUCAGAAUUUGUUCUCUAAAUAUUACCAUUUCAAGUUUCACAAAUUUAAUGGUCACUAGAUACUUAUAUAAUCGUUAACUUCAGAGUCUCAAAGGAUUAAUCGAGGUGCGCUCGAACACUCACAAUUAAAAAAAAAAAAAAAAAGAUUAUCUGAUGUAGAAAUAGACACAUGCUACUAAAUAGGAUUGUGUCUGAUGUAGUAAUAAAGUUUCUACCUUUUAUGGUAUAUAAAUGUCUGACCACUUCAAAAACAUGUCACGUAAGGACAUUAAUGUCAUUAUCCUAGAUAUUUUUGCUAAACUUUAUAGACUAAAUUAUAAUCAACACAUAUAUAUUUUACACGUAAAAUUAUAGACCUCGUCCACCUUGUGCCUCUAUAAAUAGCUUAACAUCGACCUUAUCACCACACAUCACAAGAAAUUCCUUUCUCUCUUUGCAUAACAAUAUCAAAACUCCCUUCAGGAGUAGCGAAAAUGAGAAGCAAUAUUCUACUUACCAUUAUCUUAGCCAUAGUUCUUGCAGGAGCCCUGCACAAGAAUGUGGUAGAGGCUCAGAAUUGUGGCUGUGCUGCAAACCUUUGUUGCAGUCAAUAUGGCUACUGUGGCACUGGCAAUGCCUAUUGUGGUCAGGGAUGUAAACAAGGGCCCUGUACUUCAUCACCUACGCCUACUACCCCUAGUGGGAGUGGUUCUGUUGCUGAUAUUGUUACGCCUGCUUUCUUCAAUGGUAUAAUCAACCAAGCUGCUGCAAGCUGUGCUGGG
rnacentral:lncRNA from 1 species